rnacentral:lncRNA from 1 species
UCAUUGGAAGGAUUCAAAUGCGCCCUUAGCUGUAUCUUGACUUCACAUGCUUUCUCCUUUAUGCAAUCUAAACCCUAGUGUCUUAAGCUUCAUAUAUAAGUGUAAACUCUCUCUGAUUAAUUAAUUAAUGCGAAUCAUGUUACUCUCUCUCUAGUCUCUCUCUUGUUCAUCAUGGAUCAUACAUAAAUCUCCCCAUUUCUUUCACAAUCUCUCCUAAACUUCUCUUAAUCUCUUACCAAAU